UCCCUCAUAGCUCAGUUGGUAAAGAAUCUGCCUGCAAUGCAGGAGAUCCGGGUUCAAUCCCUGGGUUGGGAA
rnacentral:tRNA from 1 species